rnacentral:lncRNA from 1 species
AUGCUUUCCACAUACCCCAGAGUUGCUCCUGCAACUUUGCACAUGCCAUUCCCUCUCCUUGAAUGCUCUUGCAGGGGCAGAAUCAUCUCAAAACUACGUCUCCUGAUGCCCAAAACCACUGGGGAGAGAAUCUGGCAGCUGAGCAAGCCAGGUUAAUACCUGAAUUACAAGAUGUUCCUGAGCACCCUUCAGUGUAGGGCUCCGCCACAAACAAAAGCCCCUGAGGUGGGCCCCAGGUGGGUGACUUGCCCCGCUGCCACCUGACUGUGAGCAAUAGGCAGCCUGAUCCUUUUUGGCCUCGUCAUCCACUAGGCCUUGGGGAAUCACUUUUUUCUAUUUUAGUAUUUUAAAAAGCAUCCAUUGGGUCUGUCUCGAGACAUUAGAGGGAAUGAGAACAAAGGCUGGUAGCCAGACUUUGCCUCAAAUCUGCUUUGCUUCACAAAUGAAAAUUCCUGUGACAUCACUUUGUGGUAGUUUGUCAAGCUUUGGGUUUAUGAAAAUAAUAGCUGAUUAAGCUAUUCACCAUGUUGUCAUGGAAAACAACAAAAAUAACAUUUAUUACACUUCAUAAUCUGGGCACUUUACAUAUAUUAUCUUAUUUAUCCUUCAUCUUUUAAAAAACACAUUUAGUGUUUCCAGUUGAGGAGACCAGUGUUUAGAAAUGGUUUGUAUAAUUUAAUCAAGUCAGCCAUUGGUAUAGGCAGGGUUUGAACCCAGGUUACUGUGCUCCACAUUCCCACUACAUGAAUCUUUGUGCCUCCAUUGUAGUUUACUGUAACAAAUUUAGAGCCUGAAAACUUUAGCCUUGCAGAUCAGGGAGGCCGGAAUAUGAGCAUUAAGAUGAUCGUAGAUGUAAUUCUGGCUAUCCCAGGUGGCCUGGGAAGCUUGUCUGAGGUUCGGGUUUCUCAUCUAGGCUGGCUUGUAAAGCAGAGGAUUCCACUCUUUAAUGGAACCCAAUCAAAGUAACCUCACCUGACUUGCCGGGGAGUAAAAUCUUAAACACACUGGUGAGGUCCAAUAUUUUUCAAAGGCUUGGCAAGAGAAACAAUAUUCUUGGAAUAUGGCCUGGAGUUUAUAGAGUCCACCUCUUCCUCUAAGGACUCUGAAUCAACUCCGGAUUAAGCCAGACCAUCCACCAUCAGCAGUGUACCUGCAG